GACGAACGCUGGCGGCGUGCCUAAUACAUGCAAGUCGAACGCAGUGGGGACGGGUGAGUAACACGUGGGUAACCUCCCAUCAGAGGGGAUAACACUUGGAAACAGGUGCUAAACCGAUACUGAUGGAUGGACCCGCGGUGCAUUAGCUAGUUGGUGAGGUAACGGCUCACCAAGGCCACGAUGCAUAGCCGACCUGAGAGGGGGAUCGGCCAAACUGGGAAGAAGACAAGGCCCAGACUCCUACGGAGGGCAAGAGGAGGAAAUGAUACGGAAUGGUCGAAAAUGGGACCGAGGAACGCCGCGUAAGGUAAGAUAGUUUUCGGAGCGUAAAUCUCAUUUGUUGGGGGUACGGUAUCGAGCCAGAAAGCCACGUCGAACUACGUGCCAGCAGCCGCGGUAAUAC
rnacentral:rRNA from 1 species